GAUGAACACAGCAGGCCAAGCAGCAUCUCAGGAGCACAAAAGCUGACGUUUCGGGCUUAGACCCUUCAUCAGAGAGCAUAUUUGCACAUAGCCCUGAUCUACUUCUGCUCAUUGGCGUAUCCAGUGGAAAAGUAGCUUAAGAGUUAUGCAUCGUGACAAUGUGAAAUGCAUUGUACCAACCAAUAGCCAUGAAAGGGCAGAGAAGAUACAGCUACAAUUUCACUGAUUGUGACCUGCAGCAUCUCAUUGAUGAACCUGAACAGGGGAGAAGCUGAAUACCACCACUUAUAGAACAUGAAGUUUCUGAAGAAGUACUGACCCAAAACAUCAACUUUCCUACUCCUCUGAUGCUGCCUGGCCAGCUGUGUUUCUCCAGCUCCAAACUGUGUUAUCUCUGACUCCAGCAUCAGCAGUUCUGACUCUUUCUGACAAAGUUCUCAUCACUGUGAUUGCAAGCAUGCAUUAUAUAAAGGACAAUGACUUGACCGGAGCAUACAAGUGAACUUCCCUAUUGCCAACUUCCCUUUCUUCUUUGGAGGCCCUGGAUUUGAAGUCUGGAUGAUGUUAUGUAGACGUUGCUUGAAAUGAUUGAAGCCCCUGAGAGAGUAAUGUGAAGAAAUGGGGGUCUGACUUUGUGAAUAAAUAAAUUGCAAACCAUUAGCUGUUACAUAACCCGUCAACAGAAAGCAAUAUUUGAAAAAAGGGCUAAGUGCAUUUUGAUGAAUGUUAUUCCAAAGGUGGAAAAAUAAGUUGCCAUCCCAUUACUUCUGUUCUAAUGUGGCUGACAUAUAUGCUUAAACUAUAGCUUGGAAUACAAUAAUAGCAACUUGCACUGAUGCACUACCGACAACAUUGUGAAUCAUCCUAAGGCACUUUACAGCUGUGGUAACAAAUAAAAUUUGACUGAAUUUCUUUUGAACAAAAGACUAAACCAAGUUCUAAGUAUUGUUUAAAGGACAGGGGAGAGCGAGAGAUGGUUUACAGAGGGAGCUCCAGAGUUUAUGAGCCAGCCAGUUGAAAAAAGGGUCAUCAAUUGUAGAGCAAGUAAAAUAGGGCAAGGAUAUGAGGCCAGAAAUGUAGAAGCUCAGAGUUCAGAGAGGGUUGAAAAUGUUACACAGAUAAGGAGGAGAAAGGCUAUUGAGGGAUUUGAUAACUAGAAUGAGAAACUUAUAAUUAAAGCAUUGUCAAUCCUGGAGUGAAUGUAGGCCAGUGAGCUCAGAGAAAUGAGUGAAUGAGAUAGCUAAUUUGUUCAAUGUGUGUUAGGAUACAAGCACCAGAUCUUAGUAUGAGCUAAAAUUAAUGAAGGGAGAUGAUCGCAGGAGGCUGGCUCGGAGAGCGUUAGAAUAUUCAGGUCCAGGGGUAACAAAGAUGAGGGUGAACAUUUCAGCAGCUAAUGAGCUAAGGCAGUGGUGAAAUUGGACAACAUUACAGAGGUCCAAACUGUGGUGUUGGUAAUGGCAUAGUAUGUUUGGGAAGUGAACAGCAGCAUGUCUUUUAAAACAUAUAUUACACAUAGGCAUGAUGCCAGUUGUUACAUACACCAGUUUGUUUUGAAAUUAUGUUGACUGUAAGUAGAUUAUACCUGACAGCAAAACCACAGUGGAAAACAGCUGUGCUUGUCUUCAGCAAAGAAUUGCAUUAUGU